rnacentral:pre_miRNA from 14 species
UUUUAAGAUGAUAUUAUUCUGAAAGAUCCCCAAAGGGAAACCCUUACUCAAGUCUUGGGAAAUCGGGGACCCCAGACACAGAGAGACCA